rnacentral:rRNA from 1 species
AGCGUUACUCGGAAUCACUGGGCGUAAAGGGUGCGUAGGCUGACUUUUAAGUCAGGCGUGAAAUCCAAUGGCUUAACCAUUGAACUGCGCUUGAAACUGGGAGUCUAGAGUUCAGAAGGGGCAGAUGGAAUUAGUGGUGUAGGGGUAAAAUCCGUAGAUAUCACUAGGAAUAUCAAAAGCGAAGGCGAUCUGCUGGGAUGAUACUGACGCUGAGGCACGAAAGCGUGGGGAGCAAACAGGAUUAGAUACCCUGGUAGUCCACGCCCUAAACGAUGAAUG